rnacentral:rRNA from 1 species
GGGUUGUGAGGUUAAGCGACUAAGCGUACACGGUGGAUGCCCUGGCAGUCAGAGGCGAUGAAGGACGUGCUAAUCUGCGAAAAGCGUCGGUAAGGUGAUAUGAACCGUUAUAACCGGCGAUGUCCGAAUGGGGAAACCCAGUGUGAUUCGUCACACUAUCGUUAACUGAAUACAUAGGUUAACGAGGCGAACCGGGGGAACUGAAACAUCUAAGUACCCCGAGGAAAAGAAAUCAACCGAGAUUCCCCCAGUAGCGGCGAGCGAACGGGGAGCAGCCCAGAGUCUGAAUCAGCUUGUGUGUUAGUGGAACGGUCUGGAAAGUCCGACGGUACAGGGUGAUAGUCCCGUACACCAAAAUGCACAGGCUGUGAACUCGAAGAGUAGGGCGGGACACGUGGUAUCCUGUCUGAAUAUGGGGGGACCAUCCUCCAAGGCUAAAUACUCCUGACUGACCGAUAGUGAACCAGUACCGUGAGGGAAAGGCGAAAAGAACCCCGGCGAGGGGAGUGAAAAAGAACCUGAAACCGUGUACGUACAAGCAGUGGGAGCACCUUCGGGUGUGACUGCGUACCUUUUGUAUAAUGGGUCAGCGACUUAUAUUCUGUAGCAAGGUUAACCGUAUAGGGGAGCCGCAGGGAAACCGAGUCUUAACUGGGCGUUAAGUUGCAGGGUAUAGACCCGAAACCCGGUGAUCUAGCCAUGGGCAGGUUGAAGGUUGGGUAACACUAACUGGAGGACCGAACCGACUAAUGUUGAAAAAUUAGCGGAUGACUUGUGGCUGGGGGUGAAAGGCCAAUCAAACCGGGAGAUAGCUGGUUCUCCCCGAAAGCUAUUUAGGUAGCGCCUCGUGAAUUCAUCUUCGGGGGUAGAGCACUGUUUCGGCUAGGGGGUCAUCCCGACUUACCAACCCGAUGCAAACUACGAAUACCGAAGAAUGUUAUCACGGGAGACACACGGCGGGUGCUAACGUCCGUCGUGAAGAGGGAAACAACCCAGACCGCCAGCUAAGGUCCCAAAGUCAUGGUUAAGUGGGAAACGAUGUGGGAAGGCACAGACAGCCAGGAUGUUGGCUUAGAAGCAGCCAUCAUUUAAAGAAAGCGUAAUAGCUCACUGGUCGAGUCGGCCUGCGCGGAAGAUGUAACGGGGCUAAACCAUGCACCGAAGCUGCGGCAGCGACACUAUGUGUUGUUGGGUAGGGGAGCGUUCUGUAAGCCUGCGAAGGUGUGCUGUGAGGCAUGCUGGAGGUAUCAGAAGUGCGAAUGCUGACAUAAGUAACGAUAAAGCGGGUGAAAAGCCCGCUCGCCGGAAGACCAAGGGUUCCUGUCCAACGUUAAUCGGGGCAGGGUGAGUCGACCCCUAAGGCGAGGCCGAAAGGCGUAGUCGAUGGGAAACAGGUUAAUAUUCCUGUACUUGGUGUUACUGCGAAGGGGGGACGGAGAAGGCUAUGUUAGCCGGGCGACGGUUGUCCCGGUUUAAGCAUGUAGGCUGGUUAUCCAGGCAAAUCCGGAUAAUCAAGGCUGAGGUGUGAUGACGAGGCACUACGGUGCUGAAGUAACAAAUGCCCUGCUUCCAGGAAAAGCCUCUAAGCAUCAGGUAACAUCAAAUCGUACCCCAAACCGACACAGGUGGUCAGGUAGAGAAUACCAAGGCGCUUGAGAGAACUCGGGUGAAGGAACUAGGCAAAAUGGUGCCGUAACUUCGGGAGAAGGCACGCUGGUGUGUAGGUGAAGCCCCUGCGGGUGGAGCUGAGACCAGUCGAAGAUACCAGCUGGCUGCAACUGUUUAUUAAAAACACAGCACUGUGCAAACACGAAAGUGGACGUAUACGGUGUGACGCCUGCCCGGUGCCGGAAGGUUAAUUGAUGGGGUUAUCCGUAAGGAGAAGCUCUUGAUCGAAGCCCCGGUAAACGGCGGCCGUAACUAUAACGGUCCUAAGGUAGCGAAAUUCCUUGUCGGGUAAGUUCCGACCUGCACGAAUGGCGUAAUGAUGGCCAGGCUGUCUCCACCCGAGACUCAGUGAAAUUGAACUCGCUGUGAAGAUGCAGUGUACCCGCGGCAAGACGGAAAGACCCCGUGAACCUUUACUAUAGCUUGACACUGAACAUUGAGCCUUGAUGUGUAGGAUAGGUGGGAGGCUUUGAAGCGUGGACGCCAGUCUGCGUGGAGCCAACCUUGAAAUACCACCCUUUAAUGUUUGAUGUUCUAACGUUGGCCCCUGACCGGGGUUGCGGACAGUGUCUGGUGGGUAGUUUGACUGGGGCGGUCUCCUCCUAAAGCGUAACGGAGGAGCACGAAGGUUAGCUAAUCCUGGUCGGACAUCAGGAGGUUAGUGCAAUGGCAUAAGCUAGCUUGACUGCGAGCGUGACGGCGCGAGCAGGUGCGAAAGCAGGUCAUAGUGAUCCGGUGGUUCUGAAUGGAAGGGCCAUCGCUCAACGGAUAAAAGGUACUCCGGGGAUAACAGGCUGAUACCGCCCAAGAGUUCAUAUCGACGGCGGUGUUUGGCACCUCGAUGUCGGCUCAUCACAUCCUGGGGCUGAAGUAGGUCCCAAGGGUAUGGCUGUUCGCCAUUUAAAGUGGUACGCGAGCUGGGUUUAGAACGUCGUGAGACAGUUCGGUCCCUAUCUGCCGUGGGCGCUGGAGAAUUGAGGGGGGCUGCUCCUAGUACGAGAGGACCGGAGUGGACGCAUCACUGGUGUUCGGGUUGUCAUGCCAAUGGCACUGCCCGGUAGCUAAAUGCGGAAGAGAUAAGUGCUGAAAGCAUCUAAGCACGAAACUUGCCCCGAGAUGAGUUCUCCCUGAGACUUUAAGUCUCCUGAAGGAACGUUGAAGACGACGACGUUGAUAGGCCGGGUGUGUAAGCGCAGCGAUGCGUUGAGCUAACCGGUACUAAUGAACCGUGAGGCUUAACCUUACAACGCCGAAG